UACGUAGGGGGCUAGCGUUGUCCGGAAUCAUUGGGCGUAAAGCGCGCGUAGGCGGCCCGGUAAGUCCGCUGUAAAAGUCAAAGGCUCAACCUUUGAAUGUCAGUGGAUACUGCCGGGCUAGAGUCCGGAAGAGGCGAGUGGAACUCCUGGUGUAGCGGUGGAAUGCGCAGAUAUCAGGAGGAACACCGGUGGCGAAGGCGGCUACCUGGACAGAAACUGACGCUGAGGCGCGAAAGCUAGGGGAGCAAACAGG
rnacentral:rRNA from 1 species